rnacentral:rRNA from 1 species
AGCGAACGCUGGCGGCAGGCUUUACACAUGCAAGUCGAACGCCCCUUCGGGGGAGUGGCAGACGGGUGAGUAACGCGUGGGAAUUUGCCUUUUGGUGGGGAAUAACGCAGGGAAACUUGCGCUAAUACCGCAUAAGCCCGUGAGGGGAAAGAUUUAUCGCCAAAAGAUAAGCCCGCGUCUGAUUAGCUAGUUGGUGAGGUAAUGGCUCACCAAGGCGACGAUCAGUAGCUGGUCUGAGAGGAUGACCAGCCACACUGGGACUGAGACACGGCCCAGACUCCUACGGGAGGCAGCAGUGGGGAAUAUUGGACAAUGGGCGCAAGCCUGAUCCAGCCACGCCGCGUGAGUGAUGAAGGCCUUAGGGUUGUAAAGCUCUUUCGUGUGGGAAGAUAAUGACUGUACCACAAGAAUAAGUCCCGGCUAACUUCGUGCCAGCAGCCGCGGUAA